GAUGAAGAACGCAGCGAAAUGCGAUAAGUAAUGUGAAUUGCAGAAUUCAGUGAAUCAUCGAAUCUUUGAAUGCACAUUGCGCCCCCUGGUAUUCCGGGGGGCAUGCCUGUCCGAGCGUCAUUUCAACCCUCAAGCCCCGCUUGGUGUUGGGCCCCGCCCGCCGUGGCCGGCCCUAAAGACAGUGGCGGCGCCGCCUGGCCCUCAGCGUAGUACAGCUCUCGCUCCAGGGUCCGGCGGCCGCCUGCCAGAACCCCCCCAACUCUGUGGUUGACCUCGGAUCAGGUAGGGAUACCCGCUGAACUUAAGCAUAUCAAUAAGCGGAGGA
rnacentral:misc_RNA from 1 species